GCGAUGGCCAAGCGCAGCUCGCUGUACAUCCGCAUCGUGGAGGGGAAGAACCUUCCCGCCAAGGACAUGUGAGCGCGGCCGGGGGUGGGAGCCCCAACUUUCCGGGGAGGGGCACUGCCCCCCAGGACGCCUGACCUUUCCGGGGUCCACCCACAAGAGCAGCGGAGAGGCACUGGCAGCAGCGACCCCUACUGCAUCGUGAAGGUGGACAAUGAGCCCAUCAUCAGGACAGCCACAGUGUGGAAGACCCUGUGCCCCUUCUGGGGUGAGGAGUACCAAGUGCACCUGCCGCCCACCUUCCACGCUGUGGCUUUCUAUGUCAUGGAUGAGGAUGCCCUCAGCCGGGACGACGUUAUCGGAAAGGUCUGCCUUACAAGGGACACCAUAGCCUCUCACCCUAAGGGGAUCUGGCCCCAAAGGACCGCAAUGGCACAUCUGACCCCUUCGUCCGAGUGCGCUACAAGGGCCGGACACGGGAGACCUCG
rnacentral:lncRNA from 1 species